AGUGAACGCUGGCGGCGUGCUUAACACAUGCAAGUCGAACGAGAACGGAAUAUAGCUUGCUAUAUUUGUCAGCUAAGUGGCGCACGGGUGAGUAAUGUAUAGAUAACCUGCCCUUAAGAAAGGAAUAACAGUCGGAAACGACUGCUAAUGCCCUAUAUGCCUUUAAUACAUAAGUAUGCAAGGGAAACGCUUUAGUGCUUAAGGAUGGGUCUGUAUGGUAUCAGCUUGUUGGUGAGGUAAUGGCUCACCAAGGCUAUGACGCCUAACUGGUUUGGGAGGAUGAUCAGUCACACUGGAACUGAGACACGGUCCAGACUCCUACGGGAGGCAGCAGUGGGGAAUAUUGCACAAUGGACGAAAGUCUGAUGCAGCAACGCCGCGUGGAGGAUGACACAUUUCAGUGCGUAAACUCCUUUUAUAUAGGAAGAUAAUGACGGUAUUAUAUGAAUAAGCACCGGCUAACUCCGUACAGCCGCCGCCGUAA
rnacentral:rRNA from 1 species